UACGUAGGGUGCAGGCGUUAAUCGGAAUUACUGGGCGUAAAGCGUGCGCAGGCGGUUUCUUAAGUCAGAUGUGAAAGCCCCGGGCUUAACCUGGGAACUGCGUCUGAUACUGGAUGGCUUGAAUCCGGGAGAGGGAUGCAGAAUUCCAGGUGUAGCGGUGAAAUGCGUAGAUAUCUGGAGGAAUACCGGUGGCGAAGGCGGCAUCCUGGACCGGCAUUGACGCUGAGUGAGCGAAAGCCAGGGGAGCAAACGGG
rnacentral:rRNA from 1 species